rnacentral:rRNA from 1 species
UGCAGCGACGCCGCGUGAGGGAUGAAGGCCUUCGGGUUGUAAACCUCUUUCAGCAGGGACGAAGCGUAGGUGAUGGUUCCUGCACAAGAAUCACCGGCUAACUACAUGCCACCCCCCGCGGUAAUACGUAGGGUGCGAGCGUUGUCCGGAAUUACUGGGCGUAAAGAGUUCGUACGGGGUUUGUCGCGUCCUCUGUGAAAACCCAUCGCUCAACGAUGGGCCGGCGGGCGAUACGGGCAGACUUGAGUACUGCAUGGGAAACUGGAAUUCCUGGUGUAGCGGUGAAAUGCCCAGAUUUCAGGAGGAACACCGGUGGCGAAGGCGGGUCUCUGGGCAGUAACUGACGCUCAUGAACGAAAGCGUGGGUAGCAAACAGGAUUAGAUACCCUGGUAGUCCACGCCGUACACGGUGGGCGCUAGGUGUGGGUUCCUUCCACGGGAUCUGUGCCGUAUCUAACGCAUUAAGCGCCCCGCCUGGGGAGUACGGCCGCAAGGCUAAAACUCAAAGGAAUUGACGGGGGCCCGCACAAGCGGCGGAGCAUGUGGAUUAAUUCGAUGCAACGCGAAGAACCUUACCUGGGUUUGACA